NGGAGAGAGAGAGAGAGAGAGAGAGAGAGAGAUCUCCCUCCAUCUCUCUCUCUCUCUCUCUCUCUCUCUCCAUAUAUAUAUAU
rnacentral:miRNA from 1 species